rnacentral:tRNA from 1 species
AGCGGGGUGGCUGAGACUAAUUAGUAGGCGAUAGGCUGUAAAUCUAUUUAGGGACGUUUACGUUGUCCUCCCGCUA